rnacentral:lncRNA from 1 species
GAGCUGGGGGGCAGGGUCCCCGGUGAAAGCGGUUGGUUUACUGAUGGUGUCCUGUCUUUCCCCCUGCAGGCAUCCCCCCGACGUGAAAGGGUGAGCGCCAGGCCGGAGAGACCUUCGGAGGGGACGGGCCGGACUGGGACCUGGGGCCUUUCCCCUCUAGGGGGCGCUGGCUCCCAUCUGGCCCCAGGGCAGGGACUGGGGGGCUCGGGGCCUUUCCCCUCUAGGGGGCACCAGCCCUGACAUGGGCAGGGGGCGGGGGUCCAGUUUGUUCCCAGCCCCGGCUCUGCUCCAGCCGAGGUGCCUGGGGCUGAGCGCUGCCCUCUGGCCGGCAGCGCCCCCCAUGCGCUUGGCCUAGGGCCUCUGGGUAUUUACUGGGCGCCCAUCACCGGGGUCUCUGGCCCCGCCCAGCCCAUGGCCUUGCUCCUGUAUGACGGCCGGGACUCGAACCCGGGUCUCUGCCCCAGCGCGGCCCGGCCGGCCUCACGGCCCCGCCCCUCUCGCGUCUCCCCGCAGGUUCCGGAAAUUCAACAUCCUGACGUCCACCAGCAAGACACUGGUCCAGGAUGAUCCGCAGAUGGAGGGGCUGGUCUGCGACUUCCGGCACAUAUCGCUGAAGGACCAGAGGGCCGGGGCCUCGGGCAAAGGCAGCAAAGG